UGGUGUGGUUGUUGCUGGCCCUCCUGGGCAUGUGCACGCCUGCCAUCCUCAUCUCUUCACCUGUGCACCUUUUGUAGGCUUGGAUAGACAUUUUUCCGAGGCAACUCGGUCGGGAGGAAUGCUGCGCGCAAGCCGGCUUUCCNUUGCGUUUUUCCAGGUCUAUGUUUUUUUCAUAUACCCAGUAGUAUGUAACAGAAUGUAUCAUUGGGCGCUUGCGCCUAUAAAGUUUAUACAACUUUCAGCAACGGAUCUCUUGGCUCUCGCAUCGAUGAAGAACGCAGCGAAAUGCGAUAAGUAAUGUGAAUUGCAGAAUUCAGUGAAUCAUCGAAUCUUUGAACGCACCUUGCGCUCCUUGGUAUUCCGAGGAGCAUGCCUGUUUGAGUGUCAUUAAAUUUCUCAACCUUUAUUAGCUUUUGCUGAUGAAUGGCUUGGAUGUGGGGGUUCUUUUGCUGGCUCAGGUCGGCUCCCCUUAAAUGCAUUAGCUGGUGUACCCUGUGGUGGACUUGGUGUGAUAAUUAUCUACGCCAUGUAUUGUCUGCAACGCACUGCUUCUAACCGUCUGUUCAUUCGGACAAUUAAAUGACAAUUUGACCUCAAAUCAGGUAGGACUACCCGCUGAACUUAAGCAUAUCAAUAAGCGGAGGAAAAGAAACUAACAAGGAUUCCCCUAGUAACUGCGAGUGAAGCGGGAAAAGCUCAAAUUUAAAAUCUGGCGGUCUUUGGCCGUCCGAG
rnacentral:rRNA from 1 species